rnacentral:rRNA from 1 species
UACGGGGGGAGCAAGCGUUGUUCGGAUUUACUGGGCGUAAAGGGCGCGUAGGCGGCCACCGCAAGUCAAUUGUGAAAUCUCCGGGCUUAACUCGGAGCGGUCAAGUGAUACUGUCGUGCUAGAGUGCGGAAGGGGCUACUGGAAUUCUCGGUGUAGCGGUGAAAUGCGUAGAUAUCGAGAGGAACACCUGCGGCGAAGGCGGGUAGCUGGGCCGACACUGACGCUGAUGCGCGAAAGCCAGGGGAGCGAACGGG